rnacentral:misc_RNA from 1 species
UCACUGAAGUAAAGAAGCUGAAACUCAUCAUCGGCGCCGGAGAUGGGAACGAGAACCGGAGACGGAAUCAGACGGUCAAAGGUCUUUGCUUUGGUAGCGAUUUUGCUAUUCAGUUUCGUGAACGACAUAUCGGCGUUAUCGGUAACAGUGAACGACGAGGAAUGCGUAUACGAAUACGUUCUCUAUGAGAACGACACGAUUUCUGGAAACUUUGUCGUUGUCGAUCAUGACAUCUUCUGGAGCUCAGAUCACCCAGGCAUCGAUUUCACUGUGACAGCACCUGGAGAAAAUGUUGUACACACAAUGAAGGGAACAUCUGGGAAUAAAUUUGAGUUCAAGGCCCCUCGUAGUGGGAUGUACAAGUUCUGUUUUAAGAAUCCUUAUUCAACACCAGAAACCGUCUCUUUCUACAUACAUAUUGGACACAUUCCCAAUGAGCAUGACCUUGCCAAAGAUGAACAUUUGGACCCCAUUAAUGUCAAAAUUGCUGAACUAAGA